rnacentral:rRNA from 1 species
CCUACGGGCGGCAGCAGUCGAGAAUCAUUCACAAUGGGGGAAACCCUGAUGGGGCGACGCCGCGUGGGGGAAUGAAGGUCUGCGGAUUGUAAACCCCUGUCAUGUGGGAGCAAAUUAAAAAGAGAGUACCACAAGAGGAAGAGACGGCUAACGCGGGGCCAGCAGCCGCGGUAAUACAGAGGUCGCAAGCGUUGUUCGGAAUCACGGGGCGGAAAGCGUGCGUCGGCGGUUUCGUAAGUCGUGUGUGAAAGGCGCGGGCUCCACCCGCGGACGGCACAUGAUACUGCGAGACUAGAGUACUGGCGGGGGAACCGUUAUUCUCGUUGUAGCCG